rnacentral:rRNA from 1 species
GCAAGCGUUAUCCGGAAUUAUUGGGCGUAAAGGGCUCGUAGGCGGUUCGUCGCGUCCGGUGUGAAAGUCCAUCGCUUAACGGUGGAUCCGCGCCGGGUACGGGCGGGCUUGAGUGCGGUAGGGGAGACUGGAAUUCCCGGUGUAACGGUGGAAUGUGUAGAUAUCGGGAAGAACACCAAUGGCGAAGGCAGGUCUCUGGGCCGUCACUGACGCUGAGGAGCGAAAGCGUGGGGAGCGAACAGGAUUAGAUACCCUGGUAGUCCACGCCGUAAACGGUGGAUGCUGGAUGUGGGGACCAUUCCACGGUCUCCGUGUCGGAGCCAACGCGUUAAGCAUCCCGCCUGGGGAGUACGGCCGCAAGGCUAAAACUCAAAGAAAUUGACGGGGGCCCGCACAAGCGGCGGAGCAUGCGGAUUAAUUCGAUGCAACGCGAAGAACCUUACCUGGGCUUGACAUGUUCCCGACAGCCGUAGAGAUACGGUCUCCCUUCGGGGCGGGUUCACAGGUGGUGCAUGGUCGUCGUCAGCUCGUGUCGUGAGAUGUUGGGUUAAGUCCCGCAACGAGCGCAACCCUCGCCCUGUGUUGCCAGCACGUCGUGGUGGGAACUCACGGGGGACCGCCGGGGUCAACUCGGAGGAAGGUGGGGAUGACGUCAGAUCAUCAUGCCCCUUACGUCCAGGGCUUCACGCAUGCUACAAUGGCCGGUACA